UACGAAGGGGGCUAGCGUUGCUCGGAACCACUGGGCGUAAAGCGCACGUAGGCGGAUUGCUAAGUCAGGGGUGAAAUCCUGGAGCUCAACUCCAGAACUGCCUUUGAUACUGGCGACCUUGAGUCCGGGAGAGGUGAGUGGAACUGCGAGUGUAGAGGUGAAAUUCGUAGAUAUUCGCAAGAACACCAGUGGCGAAGGCGGCUCACUGGCCCGGUACUGACGCUGAGGUGCGAAAGCGUGGGGAGCAAACAGG
rnacentral:rRNA from 1 species